ensembl:miRNA microRNA 30b
UUCAUGUGCUGGUUGUUCAUGCCUGUAAACAUCCCCGACUGGAAGCUGUGCUGUACGCAAAACAAGCUUUCAGUUGGAUGUUUGCUGCCAUCGUCCAGUUCUUUCG